UACGUAGGGGGCAAGCGUUGUCCGGAAUCAUUGGGCGUAAAGAGCGUGUAGGCGGCCCGAUAAGUCCGCUGUGAAAGUCCAGGGCUCAACCCUGGGAUGCCGGUGGAUACUGUCGGGCUCGAGUCCGGAAGAGGAGUGUGGAAUUCUCGGUGUAGCGGUGAAAUGCGCAGAUAUCAGGAAGAACACCCGUGGCGAAGGCGGCUCUCUGGGACGGUACUGACGCUGAGGCACGAAAGCGUGGGGAGCAAACAGG
rnacentral:rRNA from 1 species